rnacentral:rRNA from 1 species
UACGGGGGGGAGCAAGCGUUGUUCGGAUUUACUGGGCGUAAAGGGCGCGUAGGCGGCGCAACAAGUCACUUGUGAAAUCUCCGGGCUUAACCCGGAGCGGUCAAGUGAUACUGUCGUGCUAGAGUGCGGAAGGGGCUACUGGAAUUCUCGGUGUAGCGGUGAAAUGCGUAGAUAUCGAGAGGAACACCUGCGGCGAAGGCGGGUAGCCUGGGCCGACACUGACGCUGAUGCGCGAAAGCCAGGGGAGCGAACGGG